rnacentral:miRNA from 1 species
AUGGAGAAGGCUUCUGA